rnacentral:rRNA from 1 species
ACUUUAAUUGAAGAGUUUGAUCAUGGCUCAGAUUGAACGCUGGCGGCAGGCCUAACACAUGCAAGUCGAGCGGUAACAGAAAGA